rnacentral:lncRNA from 1 species
ACGUGGCCUGCCCUCCUUCUGUCUGGCUGAAGACAGAGAGAUCAUUUAAAAGAUUCCUCCCAGCCAGAUAAUUAUAAGGAGAGAUCAGUGUUUUAGAAGUAGAGCGUCAGAAUGUAAAGAAAUGGCCAAGGAGAUGAUCUCCGUCCAGUGGAUUCUGCAGCCAGCGGCUGCUUCCCCUGCCUUCAGGGGCUUUAGUGACCCACAUCCACACCCCGCGGACAGUCCGUCAGGAGUCGAGCUUCCAGGAGAGGAGCAGAGGAAGGGGAUCACCUCAACAUUUCAAUUCAACGUGGUUUUAAAGGGGACAACGCUGCUUCCAUUUCUACUCUCUGUGUGGUUUCAUAGAGUUCCUUUGGGACCGUUUUUACUAUUAUUGUGAUUUUACUGACAUCGUAUUAGAAAUGAUACCUUUGGAUUUUGUUUUCUUGUGCUGCCUUUACAAACUCGAGCCUCAGGCUGUCCCCUCUGGAGGGACCAUAAAGUCAUUCAUAACCAUGUCAACACCCGACUGCUGCACGCCCGGAGCCAGGCCUGGGGAGACACCGAGGGUCCGUGGGAGGACCUCGGCCCCACCUCUGAGCCAUCCCGGGAAGGACUCUCAGUGACGGGGACAUUUAUGAGCGCAGAGCC